rnacentral:lncRNA from 1 species
GUCCUGUUUACAUUGGGGAAAGAUCUACAGAUUACAGCAGGAGUUAACCACAGCUUACCUGAAAACUCUCAUCUAACUUGAGUCCAAGAAGCAGAUGCUGCCCUCUUUUACACCAGUGCAAUUCUGGAAUAACUCCACUGACGUCAGUGAAGUGAGAUUUAUCCCAGUUGAAAGCAGAAUUGGACCACAGUCUCAUCAUCUGCUUAUAUGCUAUGGUGCUCUCAGGAAGGUGCACCAUUACCAUACCAUAAGCUUUCCAGCUGUCCACUGAUCUUUCUACUUCCUGGGGCCUCUAGUAAUUCCUCACUCCCAUUAACUUGCUGGAGUCACUUCAGUAGUGCAUUGUACCUAACUUUGAAAAUAGCCUUGAGAUGGCUCUGCUGCAGCUCAGCCUGGGUUUCUGGUUUGGAUGCAGAAAUCAACAAUAACAAAUGGCCUUCAACAACUUUCAUUGAACUGAAGGUCAGGUAA